rnacentral:rRNA from 1 species
UACGUAGGGUGCGAGCGUUGUCCGGAAUUACUGGGCGUAAAGAGCUCGUAGGUGGUUUGUCGCGUUGUCCGUGAAAACUCACAGCUCAACUGUGGGCGUGCGGGCGAUACGGGCAGACUGGAGUACUGCAGGGGAGACUGGAAUUCCUGGUGUAGCGGUGGAAUGCGCAGAUAUCAGGAGGAACACCGGUGGCGAAGGCGGGUCUCUGGGCCACUACUGACGCUGAGAAGCGAAAGCAUGGGGAGCGAACAGG